UACGUAGGGGGCAAGCGUUGUCCGGAAUACUGGGCGUAAAGCGUGCGCAGGCGGUUUUGUAAGUCUGUCGUGAAAUCCCCGGGCUCAACCUGGGAAUUGCGAUGGAGACUGCAAGGCUAGAAUCUGGCAGAGGGGGGUAGAAUUCCACGUGUAGCAGUGAAAUGCGUAGAGAUGUGGAGGAACACCGAUGGCGAAGGCAGCCCCCUGGGUCAAGAUUGACGCUCAUGCACGAAAGCGUGGGGAGCAAACGAGGAUUAGACG
rnacentral:rRNA from 1 species